ACGUAGGGUGCGAGCGUUAAUCGGAAUUACUGGGCGUAAAGGGUGCGCAGGUGGUUUGUUAAGUCAGAUGUGAGAGCCCUGGGCUUAACCUAGGAAUUGCGUUUGAAACUGGCGAGCUAGAGUCUGUCAGAGGGGGGUAGAAUUCCACGUGUAGCAGUGAAAUGCGUAGAGAUGUGGAGGAAUAUCGAUGGCGAAGGCAGCCCCCUGGGAUAAGACUGACGCUCAUGCACGAAAGCGUGGGGAGCAAACAGGAUUAGAUACCCUGGUAGUCCACGCCCUAAACGAUGUCGACUGGUUGUUGGGCAACUUGAUUGUUCAGUAACGAAGCUAACGCGAGAAGUCGACCGCCUGGGGAGUACGGUCGCAAGAUUA
rnacentral:rRNA from 1 species